GAAAUUAUGAGAAAUAUUCAUUGUGUUAUCUUCCUGUAUCUAAUAUAGUAUUCAAAAGGAUGGUAAAGAGUGUUAAGGGAACCCAUGGAAGCCAAUGGAAACUAUUUGUUUCUCACAUUGUUUGUGAAAUACGUUGAGAGGCACUGCAAUCUCAUUUGGAAAGCUGAAAUUCAAGCCAGCUACUGGAAUCUUCUUGUGUUCUGCUAAGGUAUAGUAUCUUAACACGGUCCUAGGUUGCUUUGCAUAUAUAUUGUCCUUGUGCUACGUUUAUUUUUUAAAAGGAAUAUGAUUCAUGCUUUACUGUAGGGGUUGCCAGCCCAUUGCCUGGCAGGUUCCAGUGUGCCUUCCAGUCCCUUUUUACAAAGCCUAUGAAAUGUUUGAAUAAAUCUUCUUUGAAACCCAUAAUGCACAUGAGUUUCUGUUUGCACUGGUUGACCUCUCCUAUGCUUACCCCCCCCCAACAUGCCCACAUUUCUUUGGAUGCCAGGAUUGGGCACCUACCCUCCUUCUUUUCUGAAAUGAGUAGGGAUGCAAAAAGCUUUUCUCUGUCAAUGAGCACAGUAGUGGCUGAUCUACGGUAUGUGCCUUUUUUCCAUUUCUUUUGUGGCCAUUCCCAUGCAAUUUUGUGUUUCUCUUUUUCUGCUCUAUUAAAUGUGGCAGAAACUCCUGCAACGGCUGUUUUUUAAAAUAAUAAUAUUUAUUCAUUUUACAAGAUAAAACAAACAAACAUAAAAACAAAUAAACAAAAAUAUUUCUUAUAAAUUCAUACUUUUUUCUUAAACAAUGGUAAAUGACUCCCCCCCCCAAAUCCCCUCCCUCUGAAUUUCAUGUCAAAUCAUCUUUGGCAGUUCCAAAAUUCAUACCUCCUCAAAAUCUAACUAUUAAAAAAACCCAAAAACUAAAAACUUAACCUAUUCCCUAUAUUUACACCGACAGCCUCCAACACUUUCCCUAAGGGAUAUUAAAUAUUACAAUAUUUUUCAAGAUACUGUAUAACUUAGAUUUCUAUCAAUCUUCCUCCACCUCCUCUUCUUCCUGGUCACGGAGUCUCCCAGUCCGUUCGGCAAGUUCCAUAAAGCCCACCAUCUUCAUUUGCCAGUCAUCUAUGGUUGGUAUAUCUUGUGUCUUCCAGUUCUUGGCAAGUAGUAACCUCGCAGCAGAUGUGGCAUACAGAAAGAAUGUUAUGUCCUUUUUGGGGAUUUCCUCCCCUACUAUUCCCAGUAAAAAGGCUUCUGGUUUCUUUGCAACAGCUGUUUUGUUUCUGGUGCCAAUGACACUUUCACAAAAUUACAGGUGGACCUACUGGCCCCAAAAGGUUGGCAACUACUUUAGUCCUAUGUGGACAAGCUUGAGCCAAAUGUUGAGCUCUCAUGCUGCCCCUAAUUCUGUAAUAAAUUUCAUAGCAAGUCAACUUCAAACCAUAGGUCAUAAUGAUGACUUGUUAAACUAACCAGGAUUUCGGGUUCAGACAUGACAUUAAGAAAGCGUUUUGUAAUGGUCAGAAUAAACUCCAGUGAAGUCCUCCUCCCAGCUGUGGGGGGGAAGGUGAAAGAGUAAUGGGGAGCAAGUUAACUUGAUAUUUCACUCAGGCAUGCUCAGGCAGUGCUAAACAAUGGUUUAGCAUAAAAUGUGAACACAGUCUAAGUAUUUGCUACAUUAAAUGACUGAAAUGUUAUUAGGAGCUCUUUAGAAUUAUGUGCAAACUAGGUAUUUAGCUUUUAGUCUUGCUUUUUGCUGUACACAUUUUGAAUGUUGUAUGGCAACUCUGAGCCAUCCCUUGCCGCUUUCCAUCAUUUUGCCUAUUUAUUUAUUUAACAAAAUUUAUAUACCACUUGAUUGUAAUGAAACCUGUAAGCAGUUUAAAAGAAAUCAUACCCGUUUGCAGGAUGUCAUGGAGACCCAUUAAUUGGGCCAACAUGAAAAAUGAGGAUGGAAUCCAAUAAUUUUAAUUGGCUGAAAAAGGCCAGGCUUUGGUUUUAACUCCCAUGCUCAGCAUAUUUUGUUAGUAAAUCAAUAUAUUCUUUAAACAUUGAGAGCUGCCUCCAGUUUUUGAAAGAAGCGCCCCCCCCCCCCCUUUAGAUCAGACCAAGAUGCAUGAUGAGAGGAAGUGCUUCCUUGUCAUUCAUUUAACCAUCUGAAGUGGUUUCAGGAUAGUGAUAUGCAGUAUACAUACUCAGACAUAAUGCUGCAUUUCAUAUUUGCAAAUUAGCCUGAUUUGUCCACCUGUUUUCAGAGGGCAAAAACAAUCAGGAAGGUAGUAACAAGUUUUGAAUGUGAAGACUCAGAAACUGUUUUACUUGCAGAAAGAACGAGACUGUAAAGUAAUAAAUGAGUUGGGAAAGCAGAUGGAAAUAAACCAAAUCAAAUCAUAAGAUGCUAAAACAUAAGUUUCUUUCUUUUACUUAUGUAGUUUGGAAAAUUUGUUCACCACCCCAAGGUGGCUAUUGUUCCUAGUUACUGUACUGGAGUCUAUUGCAUGGGAAUCUCCCAAUUGUGCAUAUCAAAUGUAAUAAUAAAUCACUUGAUUUUGCAUUAAUAUUAAACUAUAUGCCACAUUUCCUUAAUAAUGUUGAAGUUUGAUCUUGUUUGCUUUUGUUAAUCCUGUAGAAGCCAUGCAAAAACAAUACUAUAAAUUUGUUUCAAGUAUUUGCAAAUACUCAUAUUUUUCAAAGCAAUACUUCUUUUUCUUUCUUAAUUUUUAAUGGGGAAAUCUAGGCCUUUCUGCAUCCUAAUAAUGUUUGGUGUGGUAGGAUAUUUCACAUAUUACCUUUUUUUACUCCCCCCCCCCAAAGUAUAAGGAACAAGUCCCAUACUACAAUCUGCAGAAACAUAAAUUAUAGCAGCAACAACAAUGUUACUUGAUACUUGCAUACUUUGUAAAGGUUAAUUUUGUUCAGUGGGGUUAAUUGGAAAGGAAGGGAUGGGCAUAAAUCCAGGUUUGCUGCCUCACUUUUUUUUUGCAUUCAGGAGAGGGCAAGAUGAAGUUGCCCAUAUUUCUCAUUCGUAAUUCAGGUCCAAGAUGCCAUCAUCUCUAAAAGGGUCUAGACUUCAAACAGUGUGGCUUUUAAAUAUAUAUAUAUAUAACGUAAACUCAUAUGAUCAAAAUAUUUAAUACAUUAACUGAUGGGCUUUUAAGAUAUAUAAUAACUGCAUUAAAGCAUUGUAGUAAUUAAAGACAAUUCACAUUUAUGAUUUGGGCAUAAAAGCAUAAAAAUGAUACCCAUCUAUCUUGUUACAUUUCCUCUUCUCUCCCUGAGGACUUAACUAUGUACUUUAUCUGUAAUUGUUGCCAGUUUUCUAUCACGUUCCCACUGGAUUUCUGGUGCAAAAAAAAAUAAAAAUCUUAUCCUCCUGCUGACAGAGCUUGCUUGAAUGAUUUCAUGCCCUUAGCAUUUUUGUUCACGGGAAUUAGGAGCAAAAUGUAACUGCAGCUGAACAUAGCAUCUAUUUUUGUAAUUUUGAAGUUUAUAUGCCAUUAUUGGAACUAAAUGAAGAGAUACAGGUGUUCUCCAGCUCUUGUCUGUUGGGAUUUCUUGAUGGCCGAAGCUUGAAAAGAAAAUGCAUGUGUUUUCAGAGUCAAACAGCAGCUGUGAGACAAGGAUUUAUGCUUUUCUCAGAACUUUGGGAUUUCAAAAUGUUACAUUUAAUCACAGGCACAGAAAGAGAGCAAAUGUUAAAGAUGUUACAUCUGAAAGUAGGGAUUGAUCUCUUUACCAUACCAGUCAGUUGUGGGAAUAAGGAACAAAAUAGUCUUUAAUCUUCAUAUGAAUAAUUUCAAAAGUAUUAGGAUAGCUGCCAGUACUCAGUGGUCAAGGUACUUUCACUGGGGCAUGGAAUAAUUUAAUCUUUCCCACAGAAUUUGAUAUAUUUUCAUUACUUUAUCUUUGAAUGCUUGGUAAGAGAAAAAGUCCUGUAAAGUUUGAUGAAGCCAACAGUAAUUGCUUUUAAGUCUCAUUGAAUUUAAGUCCCUCUGAAAUCAGUUGGACUUAAAAAAUGUCCUUUUGUAAUUUUGAAGAGCAGAUUAAAAAUAGUUUAAAUUCUUACAUAGGGUUUGCUUAGGUAAAAAUAAUAUCAAGAUGAGUAUUUGAUAGUUCAUUGUCCAUAAUCUCCAGAAGGAAUGAGAGCCAUCUACAAUUUCUAAAUUGCUUCUGUCUCUCUUAGGGAGAUUUCCAGAUGGCACUGUGUGGAAAUAUAUCAUAAUAUUUUGUGUGAAACUAGUAAUAAAAAAAUGUACAUAACAGAAUACACUGGCAAUAACAGAAAGUUGACCACAUAAAUGCUAAAUAAUAAAAUGGCUGUGGCACCAUUUACUUUCCUUUGAGGUGUAGCAGAACAGAUAGAGUUUAACCUGUGCUCUAAUAUUGAUGGUGUUUCUUGAUAGGCUUUUUUU